GCCAGCCCGCUCAGAAACUUAAAUAGAACUGACGGGGCCCGCACAAGCGGUGGAGUAUGUGGUUUAAUUCGAUGCAACGCGAAGAACCUUACCUGGUCUUGACAUCCCGGAGACCCUUAGGAACUAGGGGUGCUUCCAUCUGGAAGAAUCUGGAGACAGGUGCUGCAUGGCUGUCGUCAGCUCGUGUCGUGAGAUGUUGGGUUAAGUCCCGCAACGAGCGCAACCCUUGCCUUUAGUUGCCAGCAGUUCGGCUGGGCACUCUAAAGGGACUGCCGGUGUUAAACCGGAGGAAGGUGGGGAUGACGUCAAGUCCUCAUGGCCUUUAUGACCAGGGCUACACACGUACUACAAUGGCCGAUACAAAGGGCAGCGACACUGCGAGGUGAAGCCAAUCCCGUAAAAUCGGUCUCAGUCCGGAUUGGAGUCUGCAACUCGACUCCAUGAAGUUGGAAUCGCUAGUAAUCGUGGAUCAGCAUGCCACGGUGAAUACGUUCCCGGGCCUU
rnacentral:rRNA from 1 species